rnacentral:lncRNA from 1 species
UAGAAAUGGGCACGGAGAUUAAAAAUAAGGUGUUAAGAGUGUAAAGUGGAUAAAUGCCACUUAUUUAAUAAGUGUAAAGUAGGUAAUGGCCACAUACUACUUUUAGAAAAUGUCAUUAUAAAUUAGAGAAGCUCAAAAGGAAAGUGUGUCAUUAUAAGUGAGAUUAUAAGUGAGAGGGAGGAGUAUUUUUUCGCAAAAAUCAUCAUUUAAAGUGCACACACUUAAAGAAAAGGCAAAUGUGUAAGGACAAAAAGGGAAAAUCAAGUUACAUUUAAUAAAGUCUCAAACAUUUAAACUCUCAAAACG